GCUUUUGUUUAUGUUCAAUCGGCCAAGGAUUUCUCGAAGCCUGCCGAGCUACGACAAAAGCU
rnacentral:tRNA from 1 species